rnacentral:rRNA from 1 species
CACAUGCAAGUCGAACGGUAACAGGAAGCAGCUUGCUGCUUCGCUGACGAGUGGCGGACGGGUGAGUAAUGUCUGGGAARCUGCCUGAUGGAGGGGGAUAACUACUGGAAACGGUGGCUAAUACCGCAUAACGUCGCAAGACCAAAGAGGGGGACCUUCGGGCCUCUUGCCAUCAGAUGUGCCCAGAUGGGAUUAGCUWGUUGGUGAGGUAACGGCUCACCAAGGCGACGAUCCCUAGCUGGUCUGAGAGGAUGACCAGCCACACUGGAACUGAGACACGGUCCAGACUCCUACGGGAGGCAGCAGUGGGGAAUAUUGCACAAUGGGCGCAAGCCUGAUGCAGCCAUGCCGCGUGUAUGAAGAAGGCCUUCGGGUUGUAAAGUACUUUCAGCGGGGAGGAAGGUGUUGUGGUUAAUAACCGCAGCAAUUGACGUUACCCGCAGAAGAAGCACCGGCUAACUCC